UACGUAGGGGACGAGCGUUGUCCGGAAUUACUGGGCGUAAAGGGCGCGCAGGCUGCGUUACAAGUCAGCUGUUAAAAUCAUGGGCUUACCCCAUGAGUGCGGUUGAAACUGUAGUGCUUGAGUACUGUAGAGGCAAGCGGAAUUCCCAGUGUAGCGGUGAAAUGCGUAGAUAUUGGGAGGAACACCGGUGGCGUAGGCGGCUUGCUGGACAGUAACUGACGCUGAGGCGCGAAAGCCAGGGGAGCAAACGGGAUUAGAAACCCUUGUAGUCC
rnacentral:rRNA from 1 species